CCUACGGGGGGCUGCAGUGAGGAAUAUUGGUCAAUGGACGAGAGUCUGAACCAGCCAAGUAGCGUGAAGGAUGACUGCCCUAUGGGUUGUAAACUUCUUUUAUAUGGGAAUAAAAUGUUCCACGUGUGGGAUUUUGUAUGUACCAUAUGAAUAAGGAUCGGCUAACUCCGUGCCAGCAGCCGCGGUAAUACGGAGGAUCCGAGCGUUAUCCGGAUUUAUUGGGUUUAAAGGGAGCGUAGGUGGAUUGUUAAGUCAGUUGUGAAAGUUUGCGGCUCAACCGUAAAAUUGCAGUUGAAACUGGCAGUCUUGAGUACAGUAGAGGUGGGCGGAAUUCGUGGUGUAGUGGUGAAAUGCUUAGAUAUCACGAAGAACUCCGAUUGCGAAGGCAGUUCACUGGACUGCAACUGACACUGAGGCUCGAAAGUGUGGGUAUCAAACAGGAUUAGAUACCCUAGUAGUC
rnacentral:rRNA from 1 species